GAUGAACGCUGGCGGCGUGCCUAAUACAUGCAAGUCGAGCGGACAGACGAGGAUCUUGCGCCUCUGUCGUUAGCGGCGGGCGUGUGAGUAACGCGUGGAUACCCUACCUAUAAGACUGGUAUAAUUUCGAGACACCGGAGCUAAUACCAGAGAAUCUAUUGCACCGCAUGGUUCAAUAGUGAGAGACGGUGUUGCUGUCACUUAUAGCUGCAUCCGGGCGGCAUUAGAUAGUUGUUAAGGUACUGGCUUACCACGGCGACGAUGCGUAUCCGACGUGACAGGGUGGUCGGCCACAUUGGAACGGAGCCAGGCACCAGAGUACUAAGAGAGGCAGCAGUAGCGAAUGUGCCGCAGUGGGCGAAAGCCUUACGGAGCAACGGGGCGUGAGUGAUGAAGGUGUUCGGAUCGUAAAACUCUGUUAUUAGGGAAGAACAACUGUGUAAGUAAACAUGCACGUAUUGACGGUACCUAAUCAGAAAGCAACGGCUAACUACGUG
rnacentral:rRNA from 1 species